rnacentral:rRNA from 1 species
UUUAAUUGAAGAGUUUGAUCAUGGCUCAGAUUGAACGCUGGCGGCAGGCCUAACACAUGCAAGUCGAGCGGCAGCACAGAGAAACUUGUUUCUCGGGUGGCGAGCGGCGGACGGGUGAG